GACGAACGCUGGCGGCGUGCUUAACACAUGCAAGUCGAACGGAAAGGCCCUGCUUUUGUGGGGUGCUCGAGUGGCGAACGGGUGAGUAACACGUGAGUAACCUGCCCUUGACUUUGGGAUAACUUCAGGAAACUGGGGCUAAUACCGGAUAGGAGCUCCUGCUGCAUGGUGGGGGUUGGAAAGUUUCGGCGGUUGGGGAUGGACUCGCGGCUUAUCAGCUUGUUGGUGGGGUAGUGGCUUACCAAGGCUUUGACGGGUAGCCGGCCUGAGAGGGUGACCGGCCCCAUUGGGACUGAGAUACGGCCCAGACUCCUACGGGAGGCAGCAGUGGGGAAUAUUGCACAAUGGGCGGAAGCCUGAUGCAGCAACGCCGCGUGCGGGAUGACGGCCUUCGGGUUGUAAACCGCUUUCGCCUGUGACGAAGCGUGAGUGACGGUAAUGGGUAAAGAAGCACCGGCUACCUACGU
rnacentral:rRNA from 1 species